GUGUGCUCAUAUUAACACACACACACACACACACACACACACACACACACACACACACACACACACACUGCAGUAAUUAGAGACACUUAGUGCCCUGAACCGCAGCAGCUGCUCAGCACACACACCACUAAUUGCAGCCCUGCCUGGUAUUUUUAGCGUCGCUGCCUCCGUAGCAGUAUUUUCAUCUGGCUUCUUUUUUCAGCGUGUGCGAGUGGGGCCUUUAAUUCCAACCAGCUGUGUCUUCCCUUACAGAUGUGCAGGAACACGCACCCAAGCGACCGAUCCCACCCGUCACAUCCUGACAGGUCAGAAGCACAUCUGCAACGCGAGGAGUUUGUGUGUGUGGAGAUAAUGGUGAGGAGUGAGAGACGAUGCAGAGGAGGGAGUGAAAGAACCAAGAGGGAGUGAGAAAGAAGAAGAAAAGCUGAAAGCGAGGAGCGAGCGGUCCAAACCCGGCAGAACGCGUGACAGGCCCGGAGCCCUGAUGGAUGGAGCGCACAGAAAAUGAGAGGAGCGAGUGUGUGCACACAGCUGCAGACGGAGGAACCGCGCUAGCGGGUUAUUUUCAGACCCUGCGUCUGUCGCACACGUGCAGAAACACGCGCACGCACGCACAUACACGCGCACACGCACACACACCGUGAGGGAGGAGUUAAGACCACCACCAGCAGCACCUCUGCAGACCUCACCUCGCGUCCGAGGAGCAGGCGGGCGUGUCCUUAUCGCUGGGAUAAUUACAGACGUCCGGUCGCUGCCUCCGAGUCUGUGGUGAGUGAAUGAAGCACGAACACGCACACGUGACCAUCAGCUCAGCUGGAUGUCUGGUAGUGAGGUCACGCUCCAGAACCAGCUGGACUCCAACCAGUGACCCCAGUAAUAAACACAGCAGAGGCCAGUGAGAGCACACAAACAUAAGCAGUGAUGAGCACAAACAUGUGUUACAAAACAUACAGUGACUGAUAAACACACGACACGAUGAACAAAACAUACGGUGACAACAACCACUGAUGGAGACACGAUACCAUGAAAACAUGAGCAGUGAGUGGGCUCAUACUGGAACCCCCCCCCCCACACACACACGCACCUGGAGUGAAAAGACCAGAGACGCUUUACUGCAAGCAUAUUUUAAUACAAAAACAGAACAAAAACUUUAUUUCCUCCACUCGCCUCUGCCUUCAUGUCGUCAUAGUCACUCUGAGAGGAGCAGGGCAUCAAAAGGUGCCUCCUGCGCCUGAAUCCCUCCCUCAGAGA